AACGAACGCUGGCGGCGUGCCUAACACAUGCAAGUCGUGCGAGAAAGUUCCUUCGGGAGCGAGUAAAGCGGCGCACGGGUGAGUAACACGUAGGUAACCUGCCCCCAGUCUGGAACAACUAGAGGAAACUCUAGCUAAUGCCGGAUGAGACCACGAUCCCUUCGGGGUUGCGGCCAAGAUGGCCUCUACUUGUAAGCUAUCGCUGAGGGAUGGGCCUGCGGGCCAUUAGCUUGUUGGUGAGGUAACGGCUCACCAAGGCCGUGAUGGCUAGCUGGUCCUUGAGAGGAUGACCAGCUACACUGGGACUGAGACACGGCCCAGACUCCUACGGAGGCAGCAGUGGGAAUAUUGCGCAAUGGCGAAGCCUGACGCAG
rnacentral:rRNA from 1 species